UACGUAGGGGGCAAGCGUUGUCCGGAAUCAUUGGGCGUAAAGCGCGUGUAGGCGGUUACGUAAGUCUGCUGUGAAAGUCGGAGGCUCAACCCUCGAAAGCCGGUGGAUACUGCGUGACUAGAGUACGGAAGAGGAGAGUGGAAUUCCUGGUGUAGCGGUGAAAUGCGCAGAUAUCAGGAGGAACACCAACGGCGAAGGCAGCUCUCUGGGACGUUACUGACGCUGAGACGCGAAAGCGUGGGGAGCAAACAGG
rnacentral:rRNA from 1 species